ACUCCUCCCCGUCGGGCCGGGUUAAGCAGCCCCAAGGCCCCGGUAAAACCGAGCUCGGUCCCGAACCGGCGCUUAGGGGGAUGCUGUGCGUCCCGCGGGGCGAGGCGAAGCGGGGCGGGACUGGACGGGACGUCCGUCCGAAUGCUGCCGCCUGAGAGGCGAUGGGCUCCCCCUUCAGCAACCACCACCCCCCCAAAAUGAUACACUGUGAGGACACAGCUGGGACAUAUUCCUGGGUCCAACACUAGAGGAAGUGUCAGUAAGAUGACAUGGCAGUAGGUGAAAAAUUAGGGAGCUAUGUGUCUUCUGCAAUACCAGAGUGAUGAAGUGAUACAAGGAAAGCUUCAUGAGCAGAGUGUGAUCCUCUGAAAUGCCACUCUCUCCCAGUCCAAGAUCACCUCUAUCUUUGUCAUUCCUAGACACACAAAAAAGUGUUGAAAUUGUUUCUGGACACUGAAUGAUGUUUUCAGGUACCGUGGUCUAACUCCUUGCAA